GAUCAUGGAAACUCAGGAUGAACGCUAGCUACAGGCUUAACACAUGCAAGUCGAGGGGAAACGAUAUUGGAAGCUUGCUUCCGAUAGGCGUCGACCGGCGCACGGGUGAGUAACGCGUAUCCAACCUGCCCACCACUUGGGGAUAACCUUGCGAAAGUAAGACUAAUACCCAAUGAUAUCUCUAGAAGACAUCUGAAAGAGAUUAAAGAUUCAUCGGUGAUGGAUGGGGAUGCGU
rnacentral:rRNA from 1 species